UGGUGGGUAGUUUGACUGGGGCGGUCUCCUCCUAAAGAGUAACGGAGGAGCACGAAGGUUGGCUAAUCCUGGUCGGACAUCAGGAGGUUAGUGCAAUGGCAUAAGCCAGCUUGACUGCGAGCGUGACGGCGCGAGCAGGUGCGAAAGCAGGUCAUAGUGAUCCGGUGGUUCUGAAUGGAAGGGCCAUCGCUCAACGGAUAAAAGGUACUCCGGGGAUAACAGGCUGAUACCGCCCAAGAGUUCAUAUCGACGGCGGUGUUUGGCACCUCGAUGUCGGCUCAUCACAUCCUGGGGCUGAAGUAGGUCCCAAGGGUAUGGCUGUUCGCCAUUUAAAGUGGUACGCGAGCUGGGUUUAGAACGUCGUGAGACAGUUCGGUCCCUAUCUGCCGUGGGCGCUGGAGAACUGAGGGGGGCUGCUCCUAGUACGAGAGGACCGGAGUGGACGCAUCACUGGUGUUCGGGUUGUC
rnacentral:rRNA from 1 species